UACCCCUAGGAGGAGCAUGUUCUCUAAGGAUGAAAUAAGACUCAUCUACUGUUGUGUCAUCAACUGGGUGUUGGAUGGUAUCACUUAUUUCCUGGGUUUGGAGAGACUUCGACUUUGUUUACAUACAUUUCCUUUAAAGCAGAAACACAUCCAGGGCUAGGAAGAUAGCAUCAAGGUUAAAGACACAUCUUUAAAACUUAAUUACAAGUAUCAGGAGGAAGACAGAGUGAUCCUGCCUUUCAUCUUGCCAAGCCACGGAACCACAGGGGUGAUUUAUGAGGU